AGUUCAAUAAAAAUUGCUCCCAGCAACAAACCAGUCCCUUUUCAAUUGCUCUCACCUGUUGAGCCAGCCAGUGAGAUCUUCUCAGCUGAAUCCCCUCUGCUCUCAACUACAGCUGAGCUGGAAUAUUCAACUUCUGCUCUUCUACUGGGAAUUCCUGAUUCUGCCCUAUUCAUCCUCCUUAUUUGUUUGAGGCUCUUGAAUUGCCUCUGCAGAUCUAGUAUUUCCAGUUUGCUAUUCCAACUCUUCUGCAGACUCAGAUACAAGAGAGAGAGGGGCUCUUCAUCUUCGUCUUCAGCUCUGAUCUGAGCCGUUAGGAUGAAACUUGGGACACUGACAAUCUCAUUGAAGUUGGGGUAAUUUCCAUACAAGUACAACAGAAGUGUGCCAUAAGGAUUUCCCUGGAUGCCACAGUAAAAGCAAAAGAAAUUUCUGAUCUUGCAUUAUUCGCACUUGCACGAUGAUCUAGAUCCAUCCACAAUUCUGGUUGCUAUGCUGUACCAAUGAAGAGGAGUGAAGUGAUUCAAAGAAGAUGCUUCUGGUUUUCGUUCUGAAAGGAAAGACAGUGGAAUGAAGUUUAUGAUGCAGCAAAUGAAGAUUGCAAAGAGCCAGCUCAUUGGAUAUGCUUGGAAGCGCCCUCAGGAAACUUCAGAAGAAGAAAAAGAGCAAAUCCCAAAUAGGAUUAUUUUCUCCCAAGGUAAAGCUGAACUGUUCAUUUGUGCUCUAGCAAUAUAUCCUACCUUCAUUUUCCUGGAAUCUUUGCUACUGUUCUUUAAUUAAAGCAACAGCUUUUAAGCUUCUUUCCUGAUUGCUAAGACACACUUCUCCCCCAGACUCCUUUCACUGUAAAACACAAAAAUAUUCCUUUCUUGACUGCAUAAAAGGGAGGAUUUCACUUCUUUUCCCCCCUGCUUCAUCUGGACAUGCA